GUGCAGCAGGCGAGAAUCCUUCGCAAUGCGGGAAACCGCGACGAGGGGACUCCCAGUGCCUACGCUCAGCGUAGGCUGUUCCCGAGCCUAGAAAGCUCGGGGAGUAAGGGCUGGGUAAGACGGGUGCCAGCCGCCGCGGUAAUACCCGGCAGCCCGAGUGGUGGCCACUAUUAUUGGGCCUAAAGCGUCCGUAGCCGGCCCGGUAAAUGCCUGGGUAAAUCGUGAGGCCUAACCUCACGAAUUCCGGGUAGACUGCCGGGCUAGGGGACCGGAGGAGGGAGAGGGUACUCCAGGGGUAGGGUGAAAUCCUGUAAUCCCUGGAGGACCACCGGUGGCGAAGGCGCUC
rnacentral:rRNA from 1 species